UCCACGUGGUUGUCCGAAGGUGGUGCACAGCAAACGCAAGAGGGAAUCCGGUGCAAUUCCGGAACUGUCCCGCAGCGGUAAUCUGGAACAAAAUUCGCCAACGGCACUGAGGUUAUUUCAACCUUGGGAAGCGGCGAAAAGUAGGAAAAUUGAUAAUAAGGUUCUGCACGUAAGCAUCGAAGCAAGCGGCAGUCGUCAUCCCCUUAUUGUCGGUCACGCCAGGAAGUCCGAAUACCUGCCUGAUGCGCCGAAGACAC
rnacentral:ncRNA from 2 species